AAGAGAGAGACAUGCGCGCAUAUCAAUAAGCGGAGGAAAAGAAACUAACAAGGAUUCCCUUAGUAACGGCGAGUGAAGCGGGAAGAGCUCAAAUUUGAAAUCUUCAAGGUUUUACCUUGACGAAUUGUAGUUUAAAGAAGUGUUUUCUGCUGAAGUUUUGGUAAAAGUUCUUUGGAAUAGGACAUCAUAGAGGGUGAGAAUCCCGUAUUUGACCAUUAUUUCAGCUUUGUGAUACACUUUCAAAGAGUCGGAUUGUUUGGGAAUGCAGUCCAAAAUGGGUGGUAAAUUUCAUCUAAAGCUAAAUAUUGGCGAGAGACCGAUAGCGAACAAGUACCGUGAGGGAAAGAUGAAAAGAACUUUGAAAAGAGAGUUAAACAGUACGUGAAAUUGUCAAAAGGGAAGCGUUUGACACCAGUGUUGUUUUCUCGAAAAUCAAUUAAAAAUGGCUCGAUUUUGUAUUGUUGAGACCUUAAAAGCUCACUGUACAUUUUUCGUGUCUUUUUUAAUGCACUUUUCGUUUAACAAGUCAACAUCAGUUUCUUUUGUUGUAAAAGGGUCAUUGGAAGGUGGCUUUCUUUUCGGAGAAAGUGUUUAUAGCCUUUGGCCUCUGCAAUCGGAGAGACUGAGGUCUGCAGCGUAGACUCUUCGGGGUUAGAUACAUUUGUGCUAAGUUAUAGCUUUUUAUAGACAACUUGUUGACUAUAAUUAGUCUUGUAGCUUACUCGCUUAUGCUAUUUUACCUACGCUUAGGAUGUUGAAGUCAUCGUAUCGCGC
rnacentral:rRNA from 1 species